rnacentral:rRNA from 1 species
UACGGGGGGGGCAAGCGUUGUUCGGAUUUACUGGGCGUAAAGGGCGCGUAGGCGGUCAGCACAAGUCACUUGUGAAAUCUCCGGGCUUAACUCGGAACGGCCAAGUGAAACUGUUAUGCUAGAGUGCAGAAGGGGCAAUCGGAAUUCUUGGUGUAGCGGUGAAAUGCGCAGAUAUGGGAGGAACACCAGUGGCGAAGGCGGCACUCUGGGCCAGUACUGACACUGAGGAGCGAAAGCGUGGGGAGCGAACAGG